rnacentral:rRNA from 1 species
UGGGGAAUAUUGCACAAUGGACGGAAGUCUGAUGCAGCAACGCCGCGUUCGGGAUGACGGCCUUCGGGUUGUAAACCGCUUUUUCUCAUGACGAAGUUUUUUGACGGUAGUGGGGGAAGAAGCACCGGCUAACUACGUGCCAGCAGCCGCGGUGAUACGUAGGGUGCGAGCGUUGUCCGGAAUUAUUGGGCGUAAAGAGCUUGUAGGCGGUUUGUCGCGUCGAUAGUGCAAACUCAGUGCUUAACGCUGAGCCUGCUGUUGAUACGGGCAGACUAGAGGAAGGUAGGGGAGAAUGGAAUUCCCGGUGGAGCGGUGGAAUGCGCAGAUAUCGGGAGGAACACCGGUGGCGAAGGCGGUUCUCUGGGCCUUUCCUGACGCUGAGAAGCGAAAGCGUGGGGAGCGAACAGG